GGCCUCCUAAGUGGCUGGAAUGGCAGGCAUGCGCCACUGCACCCAGCAGUAGUGGUAUUUAACAAGUGAAAGGCUCACUGUCCGUUUGCAUGCCAGCAGGACAGAGGUCAGGAGAUGUGGAUCUCAUAUGUGACUCACCUCACCACCCAGGAGGGAGAGCCCUGAGCAGGAGGGAGAGCAGAGCAGGGGCCCUCAGCACCCUGUAGCUCCGAGAGUCUGAGGGACCCUCCUUCCCUACUUGUCCCCUGCAGCUGACUGCCUUUUCUUUAGAUAUCUGGGUGGUGCCAUUAGAAUGAGAGGAAAAGAGAUGGUUUUUGCUCUUUCCAUAAAGGAAGGGCAGUGGCAGCACCUCUCACUGUCCUCCAGGUGGAGAUACAACUAUUACUAUCCUGGAAAAGAAUUAGCUUCAAGACCACUUGUAAGGCGCUUGAUCGGUGUGGAUCAAUUUAAGGUGCUUUUCCAGCAUGAAAUGUGGCCAGUGGGCUGGCCCUACACUGUGCAGUCAUCACCGAAGCUCUGAGGGCUCUCGGAUUGGAUUGGAGUCGUGGGCUACGCUGCCGUGCAGGGGCGCAGGCUGCGGGAGUGGGCGGAAGCCACACAUGGCCGCAGCCUGACAGCGGAGCUAGGACCUUGUCUGCAAGACGGCACACAAACCCUCCGUCCGAAAGGCGUCCGGGCAUGUUCUCAGCAUUUCUAAUACCAGCGAAACCUGUGAAGUCUGAUCAUGGACAGGUGCUUAUGGCUUGAAGGGUCCUUUACAAAGGAGCAAAGAUUUGUGACAAAAAUUCCACGGUAAGCUUCUGCCUGCCUGGAAUCUGGGAGAGGUGCUGCCCUCAUUUCAUCUGAUUUUGUUUCUAAUUAUUAUCUGAGUGUUUAAAAUACAUUAGUAUCUGAAUGUUCAUUUGAUUUCUUCUUACAGUGCUUAUCAAAAUCUCUUUUUAAAUAAUAGAGAUUUGGUUAGUGCCUGGUUUUGACCAACAAGGUGACUGCCAGUUAGGAGCUCGGUGACCCAGAAGUGACUGAGGAUGUAUGAAUGACUAGCAACACUUGAAAAUCAUGAGAAAGCUGUUUGGGGAAACUUUUAGAGGCUAGAAAUUAUAAAAUCAAUGGCUUAGAAGAGUUUUUUCUUUAUUUUAAAAAAAAAUGUCUAAAAGUACUCAAAGAAAAUCCAAUGAAAUUUUUUUUUAAUGGAACUUACCUCUGCCUUCUCACUUCUUAAACUGAUGUACCUCACUGGUUGUAUUUUCUUAAAGCUCAACUUGGACUUUUAUGAAAUGAGCAUGUAUCAAAAGGAAAAGAUAAAUGCACUUGGAAGACUGUGACAUCCCUGCCCUGCUUGCCACUUUCCUGAUCUUUAAUAAGCCCGUUUGUCUCAGCCACACAUCAGUUUUAAUCUUGUGAGUUGAUGAGUUGCCGUGUGGUGCUGGGGCUGCCAUGCCUGGACAACCACAACCUCUGGACAGACUUACAACCAGUUCUUUAAAACAGUGAAGAUAACUUAAAAUAUACAGCAGACAUAGCUCAGGACUCCAUUUCAGGGCCUGCAAGCAUGGAGACCUCAGGGAGAGGAAAGCAUUCCGCAAAGCUGGACGGUAUCUGUGAAGCAGGGCUAAAGGACCCCAAGACCCUGCAGGUAAAUAUCUCCAGAACUUGGCCUGCUCACCAUGGCACCUGGGCAGCUGCCGUGGUGUCCCCAGGAGUGCCGCCCGAGCCCCACCUCAGCAAAGCAAAGUGAUGCCAUAGCGCGGACAUCCAUUCUUUGCUCAAAACCCUCUUUUGACUUAAAAGUCAAGACUAUUAUUAGGGAAGAAAAUACACAGAUACCUUUGCAGCCUCAGAUCAGGCAGGUAUUUCUAGGGACAUGUGCCACACAAGAAGAAACCAGAGACAGAGGUGCACGCUCACGGGUGACUCGUUCAAACAAUGGGUGGCACACUUGAGGAUGCUAACUAGAUUCUUUUUUAUAGCAUUACUUCUUUUAAUUUUUUUUUUUUAGUUGUCAGUGGACUUUAUUUAUAUGUGGUGCUGAGGAUCGAACCCAGGGCCUCACUCAUGCUAGGCAAGCGCCCUACCACUGAGCCCCAGCCCAUCCUGCAAACUAGAUUUUUAAGCGAUCUCAUCAUGCCCAGAACAUUCUGAAAUGUUUUUGUAAAAUUAAGCACCCUACCUGUGCAACCCCAAAAUGCCUCUCCACUUCAUUCAAGUGGAAUGAAACAUGGGCUCCCAUAGACCUCGGCCCGCUGAUGGCAGAAGCAGCUCUGUUCAUAACAGUGGAAAACCAGAGGCACCCUGGUGUCCUUCCCUGUGCACUACAGAGAAGCCACUCAGGAACACAAAGGAAAUGAAUCUUGGAAACUACACACUGAGCAAAAUAAGCCAGACCUGCAGAGACUGUCCCAUGGUCCUGUGCAAAUGAAAUCUAGAACAGGCAGAACUGACCACAGCAACAAAGUGGCCUGGGCCUGGAGUGGGAGGCAGAGGGGGUACCUGGGGAAACAAGGGAAGUUUUGGAUGACAGGAAUGUUCCCCAUGACAGUUAAGGCUGUGGCUGCGUGGGCACGAGCGUCAGUCGACACUCAUCAACCUGUACACAUAAGACAGGUGCAUUUUGCUGCAUGUGAAUGAUACUUGAAUAAAGCUGGUUUUUAAAAACCUCCA